rnacentral:RNase_P_RNA from 1 species
AAAGCGAGCCGGGCAACCGCCAGUGAAAACUGGAGGAAAGUCCGGGCACCACAGAGCAGGAUGCCAGCUAACUGCUGGGCGCCGUGAGGCGAUGGAAAGUGCCGCAGAGAGCAGACCGCCGAUGGCCCCGCAAGGGGCACAGGCAAGGGUGAAAGGGUGCGGUAAGAGCGCACCGCGCAACGGGCAACCGUUGUGGCAGGGUAAACCCCAUCCGGUGCAAGACCAAAUAGACGCACACGCAGCUUCGGCUGCACGGCCUUGCUCGGGCCGGUGCGUGGGUAGGUCGCUGGAGCCUGGACGCGAGUUCAGGCCGAGAUGAAUGGUUGCCACUUCCAUCUGGAGGGACAGAACCCGGCUUACAGGCUCGCUUUUGCA